GAUGAACGCUGGCGGCGUGCUUAACACAUGCAAGUCGAACGGUGAACGAGGGAGCUUGCUCCCUCCGGAUCAGUGGCGAACGGGUGAGUAACACGUGAGCAAUCUGCCCUGGACUCUGGGAUAAGCGUUGGAAACGACGGCUAAUACCGGAUACGAGACGCGAAGGCAUCUUCCGCGUCUGGAAAGAACUUCGGUCCAGGAUGAGCUCGCGGCCUAUCAGGUAGUUGGUGAGGUAACGGCUCACCAAGGCUACGACGGGUAGCCGGCCUGGGAGGGUGACCGGCCACACUGGGACUGGGACACGGCCCAGACUCCUACGGGAGGCAGCAGUGGGGAAUAUUGCACAACGGGCGCAAGCCUGAUGCAGCAACGCCGCGUGAGGGACGACGGCCUUCGGGUUGUAGACCUCUUUUAGCAGGGAAGAAGCGAAAGUGACGGUACCUGCAGAAAAAGCACCGGCUAACUACGUGCCAGCAGCCGCCGUAAAAC
rnacentral:rRNA from 1 species